GGCAGUGGUGGCUCAAUGGUUAAGGCUUUGGGUUACAGACCUUGGUCAGGGGUUCAAGCCCCAGCACUACCA